rnacentral:rRNA from 1 species
UACAGAGGUCUCAACCGUUGUUCGGAUUCAUUGGGCGUAAAGGGUGCGUAGGCGGCGGGGCAAGUCAGGUGUGAAAUCUCGGGGCUCAACCCCGAAACUGCACUUGAUACUGCCUUGCUCGAGUACUGGAGAGGAGACUGGAAUUUACGGUGUAGCAGUGAAAUGCGUAGAUAUCGUAAGGAAGACCAGUGGCGAAGGCGACUCGCUGGACUGAUACUGACGCUGAGGUGCGAAAGCGUGGGGAGCAAACAGG